rnacentral:rRNA from 1 species
UACGGGGGGAGCAAGCGUUAUCCGGAUUCACUGGGUUUAAAGGGUGUGUAGGCGGGCUGUUAAGUCAGUGGUGAAAUCUCCGGGCUCAACCCGGAAACUGCCAUUGAUACUAUCAGUCUUGAAUUCUGUUGAGGUGGGCGGAAUAUGUCAUGUAACGGUGAAAUGCAUAGAUAUGACAUAGAACACCAAUUGCGAAGGCAGCUCACUAAGCAGCGAUUGACGCUGAGGCACGAAAGCGUGGGGAGCGAACAGG